rnacentral:rRNA from 1 species
AGAGUUUGAUCAUGGCUCAGGACGAACGCUGGCGGCGUGCCUAACACAUGCAAGUCGAGCGGGGACUUCGGUCCUAGCGGCGGACGGGUGAGUAACACGUGGGUAACCUGCCUUGUAGAGGGGGAUAGCCUUCCGAAAGGAAGAUUAAUACCGCAUAACAUUAGUUUUUCGCAUGAAGAACUAAUUUAAAGGAGUAAUCC